rnacentral:rRNA from 2 species
GCGGACGGGUGAGUAACACGUGGGCAACCUGCCUGUAAGACUGGGAUAACUUCGGGAAACCGAAGCUAAUACCGGAUAGGAUCUUCUCCUUCAUGGGAGAUGAUUGAAAGAUGGUUUCGGCUAUCACUUACAGAUGGGCCCGCGGUGCAUUAGCUAGUUGGUGAGGUAACGGCUCACCAAGGCAACGAUGCAUAGCCGACCUGAGAGGGUGAUCGGCCACACUGGGACUGAGACACGGCCCAGACUCCUACGGGAGGCAGCAGUAGGGAAUCUUCCGCAAUGGACGAAAGUCUGACGGAGCAACGCCGCGUGAGUGAUGAAGGCUUUCGGGUCGUAAAACUCUGUUGUUAGGGAAGAACAAGUACGAGAGUAACUGCUCGUACCUUGACGGUACCUAACCAGAAAGCCACGGCUAACUACGUGCCAGCAGCCGCGGUAAUACGUAGGUGGCAAGCGUUAUCCGGAAUUAUUGGGCGUAAAGCGCGCGCAGGCGGUUUCUUAAGUCUGAUGUGAAAGCCCACGGCUCAACCGUGGAGGGUCAUUGGAAACUGGGGAACUUGAGUGCAGAAGAGAAAAGCGGAAUUCCACGUGUAGCGGUGAAAUGCGUAGAGAUGUGGAGGAACACCAGUGGCGAAGGCGGCUUUUUGGUCUGUAACUGACGCUGAAGCGCGAAAGCGUGGGGAGCAAACAGGAUUAGAUACCCUGGUAGUCCACCCCGUAAACGAUGAGUGCUAAGUGUUAAAAGGGUUUCCGCCCCUUUAUUGCUGCAACCUAA